rnacentral:lncRNA from 1 species
UCAAAUUCUAUUGCUUUCUGGCCACACUGCUCCCAUUUCGUUGAAGAUGUUGUUUGCGUCAUCUUCCAAUUGGAUCAUUGAUCUCAGAGAAGAUUGUAGCAGAUAUACAUUAGACGGAUUCAUUGCUAGCAAAACCUUGCCCAGUACUAAUGCCACCGUCAUUUAAGAAGGUAACCUCAUUGUCACCAUUACUUCCAAUGCUCUUUCGAUGAAGCUGCAAUGCAAGCUCAAAAAUUGCUUUUGAAUAUGCAAGCUGCUUGGGUUCUUGUUUUUCUUUGUAUGAACCUGUGUGAACAACCUAUGUGAAUAUGAGAUCUUGAGUUUGAAAAAAAAAAAUAUUUAUAUAUAUAUUUUUUUUCUGAUAUUACGCGUCAAAUUUCCUAUUAGUAGUAAUAAUUUGAUUCGAUGCAUUUGAGUCGGCAGUGUGGACUUGCGGGAUAUUUGAACUCAUAGACUUGCGUUCUUGCAAGACACCCCUCAUCACGGCCCAAAAUUAAUGCGCAAGGGCCCAGUCAUUAAAUGACAUAUGUUUAUAAAUUUAACUUCAUUUUCAUAAAUUUAAUACGUAGCAAACAAUAAUUAGAACCAUAAGACUAACUCCAAUGGUGGGCUAAAAGCUAAAUUACCCCCCAAACCCAAUCCAACCCAAGGGGAAAAUUUGGGCUAAAUGCUAAAUGCUAAACCAAGACCAGAUUUCUCCUAAAAUUUAGCUCAGAAAUCAUAAUUUAAUUUUUUUUAGAUUAAAAUGUUCAUAAAAUUAAUUUACGAUAGUCUACAUAUUUAUUUAUUUUUAAAAAAUUUAAUUUAAAAUGUUCAUAAAAUCUCUACUUUGAAAAUCUACGACAAGUUGUUGGGAUUUCGAUGGAAGGGAGGCGUUUGUUUACAUUGUGUUACUCGCAUAAAAACUCUAAACUAAGAUGGUGACGCCACUCGUUAGAGGACAAGUGAUGAAUGCAUUUUGAUUUUAUUGCCACAAUGGGCUAAAUGGUGUCAAUACAAAAAUAUAAACAAAGAUUCUAUGAACCAUAGUGAGCUCCCCCAUACAACCAUAAGAUAUUCAAUUUAUGAAAGCAUAAUGCUUGAGAUUUGACGCUAAAGAUGUCUCAGAUAUGCAUUGGAUGAGUUCCUUUUCCUAAGGACUUUGCUCACUGCCACUAGUUUAGGUGGUAGUGUCAUUGAAGAAGGCAACCUGAUGGUCAAUUGUGACUAUUCCUUUCAAUGCAACUCUGAUGAAGCCGCAACACAAACUCAAGGGAAUUCACAACGUCAUUCAUUGAUGGCCGUUCGUUGUAGUCAAUGCCUUUUUUUUGGUGCAUACCUUUUAGCAACUAAUCUAGCAUUAAAUCUCACAUUGCUUUUCUCAUCAACACCUUCUUUCUUGGCAUACACCCAUUUGUAUUUGAUAGCUUUCUUGCCCUUAGGCAAUUUAGCUGACUCUCAAGUCUUAUUCUUCAAGAGAGAAUUCAUCUCAUCAUCUCCCAUUGCAUUGCAUCACUUUUCAUUUUCUUCACUCUCAAUGGCUUCCUCAAAAUUGGAUGGAAACUCAUCGGUGAUAAUAGGAAGAGCAAAAGCAACAUAGUCACUAUACCGAGUUGGCUAAGUAAUAUGUCUCUUUCCUCUGUUCUUGGCAAUAGACUUUUGAGGCGAAACUUGCCCUUCGUCUUGAAAAGAGUCUUCAACUUCAACAUCUUCAACAUCCUCAUGAUCUCCCACUUCUUCACUUGUAUUGGCUUCGACAUCAGCUGAAAUAGGAUUUGAAGUACUAGAGGCAACUUUCUCAAGCUCUACCUUUGGACAUCUUUCACAUUCUUCUCAGAGUCUAUUCACAUACUUUCUUCAUCGAAUGUCACAUUUCUGGGCACCACAACCUCUAACGUUUGGCACCACUUUAAAACCAAGAAAGAUAGCCCUUUUUUUUGCUCUAAGAUUAAGUUUAUUUUCAGUUAUAUGAAAAUAAGCAGGUGAACCAAAAAUAUGGAUAUAGUCAUAAUCAAAAGAAGUUUUUCCAAUCCAAACUUCCAUUGGUAUCUUACCCAGAACAACAGCCGAAGGUAAUUGGUUGAUGAUGUGAUAUGCAUAAGUAAUUGCCUCUGUCCAAUAUGACUUGCUCAAACCCGACUGAGACAACAUACAUCUAACUUUCUCAAGCAAUAUUCGAUUCAAUCUUUCUGCAAUUCCAUUUUGCUGGGGAGUUCCCUUGACACUGAAAUGCCUCACAAUUCAUUCCUCUUGCAAACUUUAAAGAAAUGGUCAAAUGUGUAUUCACCACCAUUAUCCGAUCCCAAAAUCAUAAUCUUCCUCCUAAUCUGGUUCUCAACUAUUUUCUUCCAACCUAAGAAAAUACUCAACACCUCACUCAUAUGCUUCAUAGCGUAGACCUAAGACCUUUUAGAAUAAUCAUCAACAAAUGUCACCAACCUAAGAAAAUACUCAACACCUCACUCAUAUGCCCUUCGUUUGAUGUACUGCAGUACCAAACUUCAUUCUAGUUUGCUUCCCUAAGACACAAUGCUCGCAGAAAUUAAGCUUACAAGUCAUGGCACCUUUUAGAAGACCUUGUUUCACUAGACUUUAUAGAGCUUUCUCAUCGGCAUGGCCUAAUCUCAUAUGUCAUAGUCUAGUAGUAUCUGAAUCAAAUGUGACCAUAUUUUCUAAGACUACCGUUGCUUCACCUGUCAUAGUGCUUUCUUGCAAUAGAUACAAAUGACCACAUUGAGGAGCUUUCAUCACAACAAGUGCGUCAUAAGUAACUUUCAGUGUCUGCCUAUCUAAAUAAAACCUGAAGCCCUUUGAUUCUAAAGUACCCAAAAAAAAGAUUUUUUUUCUUCAAAUUCGUACAUACCGAACACCUGUCGACUCUUUAGCCAUACCAUCAUGCAACUUCAAACGAACUGUACCAAUCCCUUUCGUUGUACAAGGAUUAUCAUAUCCCAUAAAAACGACACCACCGUCAAACUCUUUAAAGCUUAAAAACCAAUCAUUGUGAGGAGUCAAAUGAUGAAUACAACCCUUAUCCAACACCCACUUGGUAGAACAAUCAAAAGAUGAUGAAGCGGUUAAAGCAAAAUCAGAAAAAUCAUUCUCAAGCUUAGUAACAUUAGCUUUAGAACUCACUUUACCUUUAUCUUUGGUCUUCAACCUGGGGCAAUCUUUCUUCCAGUGCCCCUUAGUAUGACAAAAAGCACAUUCAUCCAUUUCCAUACUUUUUCUACUUUUAGAAUUUCCUCUAGGUCGAGACUUUGAUUUUUUCUUACUAGAGAAAAAUUCCUCUCCAACGAUCUACCUUUAACAAAUAAAGCCUCAAAGAUACUAUCAUGAUUUUUAUCUCUAUGCCUCAUUUCAUAAUUCAUCAAGGCAUUGGACACAUCUUCAAAUUUCACAGUUUCUUUACCAUGCAUAGUAGUAGUAACAAAAUGCUCAUAAAAAUCCAACAAAGAAUUCAACAAUAUUAAGGCCUUAUCUUCAUCCUUAAUAUCCUUAUCUAAAUUCAUCAAAUUGACAAUCAACUUAUUAAAAGCAUCAAGGUGUCUAAUCAUUUUUGUACCUUCUUUAUAUUGGAAGAGGUAGAGUUUUUUCUUCAAGUAUAGUCGGUUCUCAGAACUCUUCGCUAUAUACUUGUCUUCUAAUUUUUGCCACAACGACUUUGCCAACGUCUCCUGCAUCACAAAAUACUUCUGAGUUUUUGUAAGGCACAACCAAAUUAUGGAGCAAGCCCACAAAUUCAAUUUCUCCCAAUCUAAUUUCGACAUAAUUUCCACCUUAUCUCCCAAAGCUGCAAGUAGAUUUUGUUGAGUCAACACAUCCUUGACCUCACAUUGCCACAUUCCGAAGUUGUUCGACUUCAAACUUUGCAUUUUGCACCGUAGUUCUUGCAAAUCUUGAGCUGUUUCCAAAACUAUUCUCAUCUUGCCCGCCUGACAUCUUUAGUUACUAGACGGUACCCAAGAGCAACUAGUGCUCUGAUACCAAUUGUUGUGCUAGGAUAACACCAAACCAAUUGAAAACCAACUCAAGCUAACCUAUAAGGAAUAUAUCAAAUGAAAUGCAAGAACAAAAAUAGAAAAAACGCUAAGAUUUAACGAGGUUUCUCGAUAGUUAAUGUAACUGGAGUAUGUCCUCAGAGCAGUAGGAGCUUACCAGUAAUCCACUAUCAAUCAAAUAGGAGUGUUUACAAAGUGUUGACAAUCUCACAAUCCAAAACCCAAUACACCCAAUAGCUAUCACACACCACAUAACAAAUAGAGAAGAAAAUAUAGAGAAUAAUUUCCUCCGUAUACAAAGCUCAAACCUAAUACAUCAACUAAAACUUUGAUAGAGUGAUUGCUAACCAAAGAAAUGAGCGCUUUGCUUUCAAAAUGAGGCUGCGGCACUCUUUUUAAUCUUCUUUGCUGCUGCUUAAACCAAAGGGCGGCUGCCCUGCCUUAUUAAAGAACCCUAGCCACCCCGUGGCUUUUCAAAAGGGCUAGAUAAAAGGCCCAUUGGUGGGCAGGUGAGAUCAACUAAAGGCCCAAUAGAAUUUGGCAACAAAUCCAACAAGAUGAAGAAAAUUGGUUUCGUCAUGGUAAAUUUUAUGAAGGUAUUUAUUUGUUGAUUUGGUUGUAUGCAUGAAUAAACUUAGCUCUUUUUUAUGAGUAGAUAUGUCAUGUGUGGUUGUGUGUGUGUGUGUCUCUCAUUGCAAGUUCUCGAGAUUUAAGUUUAUCAGACUUUUCUCGGAUAACCACUGAUUAAGUCAUUGGCUUGCAUGCAAUUCAAUUGGGAUUCGAAAAUUGAAUUUUGUACAUUCUUUUUUAUUUUUGUACACUUUCUCUGACUUAUUGCCAUUGAUUUUUUUUAUUUGUUUAAAUGAAUGAUUAGAAAGAAAAAAAUGAUUGUGUAAGAAAGAAAAAAAGGUGUACAUAAGUCAUUUCCUCAAAUCUUUAUGCGUGUACUUUAACCAGUGUUUAAAAUAACGAUAUAGAUGAAAAUAUGAAUAUGCAAUUUUAGGAAAUAUCGAUGAAUAUAUCAAUAUCGGUAGUCUUCAAUGGAAAUUUGCAAUGGGUGGGUCAAUCAAGUCAUUCAUCAAAAUUAGAAAACAAAUUCUCAAAAAUAAAAAAUAAAAAAUAAAUUCAAAAGCUCUAAAUCUGCAAUAGGUAGUGAAUUAGUAAAUAUCAUCGAUAUUCAUUGAUUUUUUUAUAUUCAUUGAUUUUUUCCUAUAUCUCGUUGAUACAGGGUGAAUUUUACAUUUCACCCCUUUCCAUAUUGAUCCUUGAUUUUUCAAAUAUUAAAAUGGAAAUAUCAACAAUUUCGUAAAUAUUUUAAAAUGUAGAUAUUGUGAACACUGACUUCAAUAUAAGAGAACAAAUUGAGCGAGUUCUCCUUUUAUAAGUGUUGGUGUCCUUAUGUAAUGGGAUGUGUUUAAAGGACGUCAAGUUUCACGUCGAAACUUAGUGAAUCAAAUACAACAUAUAAUGAGUGGAAAAAUAAAAUACGAUAUAUAGUGCUUCUCGUAAGGCACCCCGUCAAUUCAGAGGAUGUGGUUGGAGGAUUAUACCGAUCGAAGACUUGACUACUUUUGUUCUUGAUGAAGAGAUAGACUUGAGUUAUUUGAGCAGGCAGGUGGCCCCUUUAGAUAUUUUGCUUCAUCUUCUUCACAUUUACAUGUCUGCUUCUUCAUUUUUCAAUGCUUCCUGGUGAAAAAUUUACUCAAUUAGGCAUUUUUGUACAAAGUCCGAACUAAUCACAUCGGAUGCGGACUAUUUAGUAAUGAGUACAGUGAUUAAGAAUGCAAUUGGAAAAUGAUUCUCUUGAAUUAGUUGGUGUUCAUUUGGAUUCAAAUACAACUGAUAUGAAAUUUGACGCAACAUAUUUACUAAUAUCCAAUUCAAAUUCUAUUGCUUUCUGGCUGCACUGCUCCCAUUUCAUUGAAGAUGUUGCUUGCGUCAUCUUCCAAUCGGAUCGUUAAUCUCAGAGAAGAUUGUCGCGGAUAUACAUUGGACGGAUUCAUUGCUAGCAAAACCUUGCUCGGUACUAACGCCACCGUCAUUUAAGAAGGUAACCUCAUUGUCAGCAUUACUUCCAAUGCUUUUUCGAUGAAGCUGCAAUGCAAGCUCAAGCCCCCUCACAACCUCAUUCAUCGAG